rnacentral:rRNA from 1 species
CAGUAGCCGCGGUAAUACGGAGGAUCCAAGCGUUAUCCGGAAUCAUUGGGUUUAGAGGGUCCGUAGGCGGUUUAGUAAGUCAGUGGUGAAAGCCCAUCGCUCAACGGUGGAACGGCCAUUGAUACUGCUGAACUUGAAUUAUUAGGAAGUAACUAGAAUAUGUAGUGUAGCGGUGAAAUGCUCAGAGAUUACAUGGAAUACCAACUGCGAAGGCAGGUUACUACUAAUUGAUUGACGCUGAUGGACGAAAGCGUGGGGAGCGAACAGGAUUAGAUACCCCUGUAGUCCCUGUCUCUUAUAC